GAAGGAUUGAAAAAACUCGCCAGAAUUCAAAGGAGAAAUUUCAUUGAUAGCCAAAUUGCCUCUUCAAUGAAAAUAAAGAUGAUAUCAAGCUCAACAAAAGCGUUUCUUGGGACUCUUAUAAUCCUGUCUAUUACUGUACAAAUAGUAAAUGGUAAUGACGACAUAUCAAUCUGCAAGAAAAGCUUAGAGACACUAAAAGAUAACGUGAAAGAGUGGAUGGAAACUUGCGUUGAUAAAAAUGGCAAUGACGAUAACACAUCUGCAUGCAAGGAAUUAAAACAA